GCCCCGGUAAACGGCGGCCGUAACUAUAACGGUCCUAAGGUAGCGAAAUUCCUUGUCGGGUAAGUUCCGACCUGCACGAAUGGCGUAAUGAUGGCCAGGCUGUCUCCACCCGAGACUCAGUGAAAUUGAACUCGCUGUGAAGAUGCAGUGUACCCGCGGCAAGACGGAAAGACCCCGUGAACCUUUACUAUAGCUUGACACUGAACAUUGAGCCUUGAUGUGUAGGAUAGGUGGGAGGCUUUGAAGUGUGGACGCCAGUCUGCAUGGAGCCGACCUUGAAAUACCACCCUUUAAUGUUUGAUGUUCUAACGUUGGCCCGUAAUCCGGGUUGCGGACAGUGUCUGGUGGGUAGUUUGACUGGGGCGGUCUCCUCCUAAAGAGUAACGGAGGAGCACGAAGGUUGGCUAAUCCUGGUCGGACAUCAGGAGGUUAGUGCAAUGGCAUAAGCCAGCUUGACUGCGAGCGUGACGGCGCGAGCAGGUGCGAAAGCAGGUCAUAGUGAUCCGGUGGUUCUGAAUGGAAGGGCCAUCGCUCAACGGAUAAAAGGUACUCCGGGGAUAACAGGCUGAUACCGCCCAAGAGUUCAUAUCGACGGCGGUGUUUGGCACCUCGAUGUCGGCUCAUCACAUCCUGGGGCUGAAGUAGGUCCCAAGGGUAUGGCUGUUCGCCAUUUAAAGUGGUACGCGAGCUGGGUUUAGAACGUCGUGAGACAGUUCGGUCCCUAUCUGCCGUGGGCGCUGGAGAACUGAGGGGGGCUGCUCCUAGUACGAGAGGACCGGAGUGGACGCAUCACUGGUGUUCGGGUUGUCAUGCCAAUGGCACUGCCCGGUAGCUAAAUGCGGAAGAGAUAAGUGCUGAAAGCAUCUAAGCACGAAACUUGCCCCGAGAUGAGUUCUCCCUGACUCCUUGAGAGUCCUGAAGGAACGUUGAAGACGACGACGUUG
rnacentral:rRNA from 1 species